rnacentral:snRNA from 1 species
AGCUUUGUGCAGUGGCAGUAUCAUAGCCAAUGAGGUUUAUCUGAGGCGUCAUUGUUGCUAAUCGAAGACUUUUCCCAGCCACUGUCAUUAUACCGAAAUAGUUAAGAUGAUAAACACGGAAGCUUGCUUU